UACGGGGGGGGCAAGCGUUGUUCGGAAUUACUGGGCGUAAAGGGUUCGUAGGUGGCCUACUAAGUCAGACGUGAAAUCCCUCGGCUUAACCGGGGAACUGCGUCUGAUACUGGAUGGCUUGAGUUCGGGAGAGGGAUGCGGAAUUCCAGGUGUAGCGGUGAAAUGCGUAGAUAUCUGGAGGAACACCGGUGGCGAAGGCGGCAUCCUGGACCGACACUGACACUGAGGAGCGAAAGCCAGGGGAGCAAACGGG
rnacentral:rRNA from 1 species